rnacentral:rRNA from 1 species
CAAUAGCGUAUAUUAAAGUUGUUGCAGUUAAAAAGCUCGUAGUUGGAUUUCGGGGCAGCCUGGCUGGUCCGCCGCAAGGCGAGUACUGGUCAGCCGCCCUUCCUCUCGAAAGCCCCGACUGCUCUUCGUUGCAGUGGUCGGGUAGUUCGGGACGUUUACUUUGAAAAAAUUAGAGUGUUCAAGGCAGGCCUACGCCUGAAUACAUUAGCAUGGAAUAAUGGAAGAGGACCUCGGUCCUAUUUUGUUGGUUUCCAGGGCCGAAGUAAUGAUUAAGAGGGACAGUUGGGGGCAUUCGUAUUUAAUUGUCAGAGGUGAAGUUCUCGGAUUUAUGAAAGACGAACAACUGCGAAAGCAUUUGCCAAGGAUGUUUUCAUUAA